AUAGUACUCCCUCCGUCCCAAAAUUCGUGUCUUAGAUUUGUCUAGAUACAGAUGUAUCUAAUACUAAAAGGUGACUUGAUACAUCCGUAUUUAGACAAAUCUAAGACAAGAAUUUUGGGACGGAGGGAGUAUAAA
rnacentral:pre_miRNA from 1 species